AGAGACAGCAGCAGCCGCGGUAAUACGUAGGGUGCAAGCGUUAAUCGGAAUUACUGGGCGUAAAGCGUGCGCAGGCGGUUAUAUAAGACAGAUGUGAAAUCCCCGGGCUCAACCUGGGAACUGCAUUUGUGACUGUAUAGCUAGAGUACGGCAGAGGGGGAUGGAAUUCCGCGUGUAGCAGUGAAAUGCGUAGAUAUGCGGAGGAACACCGAUGGCGAAGGCAAUCCCCUGGGCCUGUACUGACGCUCAUGCACGAAAGCGUGGGGAGCAAACAGGAUUAGAUACCCCUGUAGUCCCUGUCUCUUAUAC
rnacentral:rRNA from 1 species